UAUAUAUGAACAGAAAAAGCCUGAAGGCACCUCGAGUAUCUCUCUGCGUCUUUAGGGGUUAAUCUCUGAUCCGACCCUCUCGCAAAGAAGUUGGACGCGCUUGGGAAAAUGUCGGCCCUGGCCCUGGGCCGUUGGGCUUCGCGGUUCAAAAUAUUGCAUUCGCAGGCGACGCUAUUUCGGACAUCCUCCUCCACCUACUUCUUCACCAGCAGCACAGCUAACAAGAGUGAGGAUCCGGUUCGACCUGAACCGCCUCCGAUCCGGGUCUCUCUAACCGAGUCGGCUGGUAGAGGCGUGUUUGCCACUCGGAGAAUUGGAGCCGGAGAUCUCAUCCACACCGCGAGGCCCCUCGUUGCCCACCCUUUGCUUUCUACAACUCAUAGCGUCUGUUACUUCUGCCUCAGAAAGCUGAAAGCUACUUCUCAAACUCAAGCUAUCCAGUUUUGUAGCAAUGAAUGCGAAGAACAAUCCAUGGGUUUUUACAAUGUUGAGAGGAGAGCAAACUGGUCAGACUAUGAUAAUUAUUGCCGAAUGCACGGUUUGAAGUACCCACUUCUGGUGAAACGGUUAGCUUGUAUGGUCAUAUCAGGAGUUGCAGCUGCUGACAGUUUUGACAUUCUUCAACCGGAAAGUUUAUCUCCAGUAAUGGUUUCAGAGAUGGAAGAGGGGUUUAACUUACUAAGGGGUGCCUUCACAAAGGCAAAUAUCUGCGAUGAACAGGUAGCUUUUCUAACCAAGACAUGGUACACUAGCGUUUUGGCACGUAUUCGUAUUAAUGCGUUUCGUGUUGAAUUGGCUGGAGGAUUGUAUGAAGAUCUUCUUACAUCAGCCGCUGCCUCUGUAGAAGCUGAAGCUGCUGUUGGUAAUGCUGUGUAUAUGCUUCCAUCGUUCUACAAUCAUGACUGUGAUCCCAAUGCACACAUUUUAUGGAUUGAGAAUGCAGAUGCCAGAUUGAAGGUCCUUCGUGAUGUUGAGGCAGGGUGUAAGAGUGCUGCACCAGUUGGACAACGAGACCAUCUCUCCUUUUUGUGUUGCUAGAUAGAUUGACAGUUUCUCAAAGGCUGUCCAGUUUCUCUUAGAUGAAGCAUGUAUCUUCAUGCUUGUACACGGGAGCCCUUCUGAACUGAAUUUAUUAGAUUGAGGAAAAGGAGCGUAUCAAGUUUGUUAGUUGAGACAAAGCAUUGUUAUGAUUAUAUGCACACCUCUGGGAAGCUGGGAGAAGAGCUUCGGAUCUGCUAUAUUGAUGCAAGUAUGGAUCGUGAUGCUCGGCAAACUCUCCUGUCCCAGGGGUUUGGUUUUCAGUGCAAUUGUUUUCGGUGCUCCUCUGGUGAUUAAGAGUCAUUCCUGUUCCUUUGAAUGCGUAUGAUUUGACAUUAUCCGCGUAUAUUUUGCAUUCUCUGAUGCUUUAAUCAGUAGUGUACUAGUUGUUUAA